rnacentral:rRNA from 1 species
AGUCGAACGGUCUCUUCGGAGAUAGUGGCGGACGGGUGAGUAACGCGUGAGAACAUGCCUUUAGAUUGGGGACAACAGUUGGAAACGACUGCUAAUACCGAAUGUGCCUUAGGGUGAAAGAUUUAUUGUCUAGAGAUUGGCUCGCGUCAGAUUAGCUAGUUGGAGUGGUAACGGCACACCAAGGCGACGAUCUGUACUUGGUCUGAGAGGAUGACCAGGCACACUGGAACUGAGACACGGUCCAGACUCCUACGGGAGGCAGCAGUGGGGAAUUUUCCGCAAUGGGCGAAAGCCUGACGGAGCAAUACCGCGUGAGGGAGGACGGCUUUUGGGUUGUAAACCUCUUUUAUCAGGGAAGAAUCGAUGACGGUACCUGAUGAAUCAGCAUCGGCUAACUCCGUGCCAGCAGCCGCGGUAAUACGGAGGAUGCAAGCGUUAUCCGGAAUUAUUGGGCGUAAAGCGUCCGUAGGUGGUUUAUCAAGUCUGCUGUCAAAGCGUGCGGCUUAACCGCAUAAGGGCAGUGGAAACUGAUGAACUAGAGUGCGAUAGGGGUAACAGGAAUUCCCAGUGUAGCGGUGAAAUGCGUAGAUAUUGGGAAGAACACCAGCGGCGAAAGCGUGUUACUGGGUCUGCACUGACACUGAGGGACGAAAGCUAGGGGAGCGAAAGGGAUUAGAUACCCCUGUAGUCCUAGCCGUAAACGAUGACAACUAGGCGUGGUUCGUAUCGACCCGAGCCGUGCCGUAGCCAACGCGUUAAGUUGUCCGCCUGGGGAGUACGCACGCAAGUGUGAAACUCAAAGGAAUUGACGGGGGCCCGCACAAGCGGUGGAGUAUGUGGUUUAAUUCGAUGCAACGCGAAGAACCUUACCAAGGCUUGACAUCCUCGGAACCCUGAUGAAAGUUAGGGGUGCCUUCGGGAGCCGAGAGACAGGUGGUGCAUGGCUGUCGUCAGCUCGUGUCGUGAGAUGUUGGGUUAAGUCCCGCAACGAGCGCAACCCACGUUUUUAGUUGCCAGCAUUCAGUUGGGCACUCUAGAGAGACUGCCGGUGACAAACCGGAGGAAGGUGUGGAUGACGUCAAGUCAGCAUGCCCCAUACGCCUUGGGCUACACACGUACUACAAUGCGUCGGACAAAGAGCAGCCAGCCAGCGAUGGUGAGCCAAUCUCAUAAACCGACGCUCAGUUCAGAUUGCAGGCUGCAACUCGCCUGCAUGAAGGCGGAAUCGCUAGUAAUCGCAGGUCAGCAUACUGCGGUGAAUACGUUCCCGGGCCUUGUACACACCGCCCGUCACACCAUGGGAGUUGGUCACGCCCGAAGUCGUUACUCUAACUGCUUGCAGAGGAGGACGCCGAAGGUGGGGCUGAUGACUGGGGUGAAGUCGUAACAAGGUAGCCG